rnacentral:rRNA from 1 species
GUAGGUGGGCAAGCGUUGUCCGGAAUUAUUGGGCGUAAAGCGCGCGCAGGCGGUCCUUUAAGUCUGAUGUGAAAGCCCACGGCUCAACCGUGGAGGGUCAUUGGAAACUGGGGGACUUGAGUACAGAAGAGGAAAGCGGAAUUCCAAGUGUAGCGGUGAAAUGCGUAGAGAUUUGGAGGAACACCAGUGGCGAAGGCGGCUUUCUGGUCUGUAACUGACGCUGAGGCGCGAAAGCGUGGGGAGCAAACAGGAUUAGAUACCCUGGUAGUCCACGCCGUAAACGAUGAGUGCUAAGUGUUAGGGGGUUUCCGCCCCUUAGUGCUGCAGCUAACGCAUUAAGCACUCCGCCUGGGGAGUACGGCCGCAAGGCUG